rnacentral:rRNA from 1 species
GACGAACGCUGGCGGCGUGCUUAACACAUGCAAGUCGAACGGAAAGGCCCUGCUUUUGUGGGGUGCUCGAGUGGCGAACGUGUGAGUAACACGUGAGUAACCUGCCCUUUACUGUGUGAUAACUUCAGGAAACUGGGGCUAAUACCGGCUAGGUGCUCCUGCUGCAUGGUGGUGGUUGGAAAGUUUCGGCGGUUGGGGAUGGACUUGCGGUUUAUUAGCUUGUUGGUGGGGUGGUGGCUUACCAAGGCUUUGACGGGUAGCCGGCCUGAGUGGGUGACCGGCGACAUUGGGACUGAGAGACGGCCGAGACUCCUACGGGAGGAAGCAGUGGGGAAUAUUGCACAAUGGGCGGAAGCCUGAUGCAGCAACGCCGCGUGCGGGAUAACGGCCUUCGGGUUGUAAACCGCUUUCGCCUGUGACGAAGCGUGAGUGACGGUAAUGAGUAAAGAAGCACCGGCUAACUACGUG